rnacentral:misc_RNA from 1 species
UGCGCCAAGGUGAGAUCUUUCACAUCCAUCAGCUCAAGAACUGACUUGGGUGUAGCCCUUUCAUGGCCACCCAAUAGCUCAACAGCAUGAACAAAGCGAGCAUGAAGGGUAGUAGUCCACCGCAUCCUUGGUGCUCUCAUGCUGCGUUUAGCUGGAAAUCUUGACAUCAAUCUUGAUCUCAUAAAACCUGGAGACUGAUAGGGACUUAAACUUGAGGAGCUCGAGUUAGUGGUUGCUAAAGAAGAAUUUUGAGCACCAGUACUAUCCAAAGGUUGUUGAGAGACGGAAAAAGGAGUAGGGUUUUGGUAUACAGGAAUCCCUCUAAUGGGUCUCAAGAAACCAAGCUCUUGGCUUGGCCCUUGCUGCUGCUGCUGCUGCUGAAAGAGGGGAUUUUGGUGAUGAUGAAGGUGGUUUUCUUGGAGAUGGUGUUGGUACAGGUUUUGUUGGAAAGAAUGGAAAAUAUUCUUACCAUUGUAAUUGCCAGUGUUUUGGAGAAGGUGAAAAUGGUUGGAGCCAGGCUCUGAAACCCUGGGAUUCGAUAGUGAGAGCUCAAAACAGGCAUCAGG